GCUCCUUGAUUAAAUAUAAAAAUAUACAUAACCGGUUUUGUGGCGACCCAUGCAUCAUAGUUUGUGUGCCAAGUUACAAAUGUUGAAGAUUAUGUUAACAUCUUUAUUAUGUUGGUAUUUUUGGUUUUUGUUUGGUUGCUGCCUCAUUUACUCUCAAAUAGGUUUUUUCAUACAUACCCUGUGUAUGCCUUUGUUAAGAAAAUGAAAAUUAUAUGACACCUGAAUGCGUAUUAAAUGAUUCUAAAUAGAAGACAACCAAAUAGUCCCUUACAGUUGUACAAAUAAACAAGCAAAUAGUCCCUUACAGUUGUACAAAUAAACAAGCAAAUAGUCCCUUACAGUUGUACAAAUAAACAAGCAAAUAGUCCCUUACAGUUGUACAAAUAAACAAGCAAAUAGUCCCUUACAGUUGUACAAAUAAACAAGCAAAUAGUCCCUUACAGUUGUACAAAUAAACAAGCGAAGGCCGUACGGUGACCUAUAGUUGUUAAUUUCUGUGUCAUUUGGUCUCUUGUGGAGAGUUGUCUCAUUGGCAAUCAUAUCAAAUCUUUUUUUUGUGAGCAAAUACAUUCAAUUUGGUAAAUACGAACGAAUGAUCUAACUGGUAAUUAAUUUUCUUAGCAAGGGCUAAAAUAAAUCUUUGGAAGCCCGAUCAACAUGGAAGUAUUACAAAAUUAUAAACUGAACAAUUAAACAAGAAAGGGAGAAUCAUAGUCAAAGUUAGCAGGUCAUAUCAAUUAUAAACAAUGGUAAAUUGAACAAUGACAGUAUAACAUAACUAGUACAUGUAUGUAUGUUUGUAAUAUUUAAGAUAUACAUGUGUAACAGUAUUUAUAACUAUUAAGUU